rnacentral:lncRNA from 1 species
UAGUGUGAAAAUGAAGUAGAGCAUAUUGAUUCAAAGGGGAAAUUUGAGCUAUGAAUUAUUUCCUUUAUAUUGGAAUUAUGAUAAUCAAGAUGGGGAGAAUACUUAGCUAGUUCAAUCGGUAAUCCUAAAUUAUAUGGUCAAUGUCUGUAGUCUAUUAGCAACAAAAUUAAGAUUCAGUUAGUAAUUAGUACAACUGCAAGCCUAAUGCAAAAGGUUUUCUGGUAAUAUUUACCUUACAGUAGUAGUGAAGGGCUGGUGAUUAUUGUGAAAUAUGUAAGCCAAAGAGAAAUGCUUAGUCUAUUGAAUCAUAAUUUCUUGCAUGCAUAGUUUCAAAGAGGCUUGAACCAUGGGGUUCAAACACAUGCUUAUUGAGAGUAGAUUCUUUAGUGGUCAAUUCUUGGGCCACCUCAAUAAAUAAGGGUUCUUAAUGGUAUGUCAUUACUUGAGAGAGAUUCUAGGGGUAAGUUAUAGUUGAAUUCCUAGGUAACCUAAUUAGGAUGUUGAAUUCUUGGUAAAAAGAGGUCAAAUAUUGGGAAUUUUAGAGAAGAUCAUCUUCCCCCUUAAGUGGUUUUGGAUGGCUCCUUUGUUUGCUUUGUAUUAUGUUUUUAUUGAAUUUAUU